rnacentral:tRNA from 1 species
GUGGGCGUAGCUCAGUUGGAUAGAGCACCAGAUUGUGGCUCUGGGGGCCGUGGGUUCAAGUCCCAUCGUCCACCCCA